GCUCUUUAUUGGAAUAUAAUUGCUGUACACUGUUGUGCCAGUUUUUCCUGUACAACAAGAGAACACAAGCCUUGGCAUCCUACAAGGUCAAACGCUGCAAGCGCUACCUGUGAAUUCUGGGUGAAUCAAACCAGUGGUGAGGGGAAACAGCAACUGGGAGCUGCUGGAAAUGAAACUAAGGUGACGCCCCAGACUCCGGAGUCCAAGGUCUUGGCCAGCAGUGGCAGAUACAGGGAGAAGGCGGG